AGAACGAACGCUGGCGGCAUGCCUAACACAUGCAAGUCGAACGCUCUUGGGAUUUCGGUCUCAAGGGAGUGGCGCACGGGUGAGUAGCGCGUGGGAACCUGCCCUGUUGUGGGGGAUAACCGAGGGAAACUUCGGCUAAUACCGCAUGCGCCCCCGGGAGUGAUCCUGGGGGGAAAGAUUUAUCGCAGCAGGAGGGGCCCGCGUCGGAUUAGGUAGUUGGUGGGGUAACGGCCCACCAAGCCUGUGAUCCGUAGCUGGUCUGAGAGGAUGAUCAGCCACACUGGGACUGAGACACGGCCCAGACUCCUACGGGAGCAGCAGUGGGGAAUAUUGGACAAUGGGCGCAAGCCUGAUCCAGCAAUGCCGCGUGAGUGAUGAAGGCCCUAGGGUUGUAAAGCUCUUUUAUGCGGGAAGAUAAUGACGGUACCGCAAGAAUAAGCCCCGGCUAACUUCGUGCCAGCAGCCGC
rnacentral:rRNA from 1 species